rnacentral:rRNA from 1 species
CCCUUAGAUGUUCUGGGCGGCCCGCGCACUACAAUGGCGUGUGCAGCGAGUGCCGAAGUAGAGUUUUCCGAGGUAUUCUUGCAAUGCUCGUUUUGAUGGGGAUAGACCCUUGCAACUGUUGGUUUUGAACGAGGAAUUCCUUGUAAGCAUGGUUUAUCAUCCGACGCUGAAUGCGUCCCUGCCCUUUGUACGCACCGCCCGUCGCUCCUACCGAUGAGUCGUCCGGUGAAGUUCGUAGACCUCGUGAUCGCGGAUCACUGGGGGAAGCAAAAUGAACCUCGCGGUUUAGAGGAAGGAGAAGUCGUAACA